UGCUUAUAUAUGAACUAAAUCAAUUGACAAAUUUAUACAAAAGUAAACUCACUUUCAAGACAUGCAGACACAUAAAAUUUUACAAGAUGACUAACAGACCAAUGGUUUGGAGAGAGUAGAAAAAAAUGCUCUAAACCAUUGUAAGGUAUGGCAACACACUAUGUUUUCCUAGAAUUAUAGAACAUAGACUAAUAUUUGCUUGGAUUAUUCAAACAAACAAAAAUCAACUGAUGUUGGGUUAAAUAUUUUGAUUCAAGCCAAUUAAAAUCAAACUGUUCACGUUGCGAUGGAAGUUGACAAAAAAAUUUAGACUAAAGUUUCAAUUUUGACUUUUAAAAGUUUUGUUUCAAGAAAUCCAGGCCGGAUGACAUACUCAUUUUUCAAUUAUUUGGUUAGAUCAUAUUGGAUCAAAAUGACAGUAACAGGAUAUCUUACUCUGUACCAUACAUACAUGUAUUUGUAUUUGCUAUCAGAAAGAAGCCUCUUUGCCUUUCUAUUAAAAUCAUACAAGUUGAAUUUCUUUUGUGAGCAUAUGAAAUACAAGUAUGAGAAUUAGACUCUAUUUUUAACAAACAAGUCAAAAAUUCAAUUCACCAUACAAUAAACAAUUAACCAUGUGCAGUUCAGCAGUAACAUUACAAAUACUUUCCCCCUUUUUUUCAUUUCAAGGGCGACAACUCUUUCAUAAAUUUAAAUCAUCAUUAAUAACUCAAAAAU
rnacentral:lncRNA from 1 species